AAUAAUAAAUGAAGGAAGAAAGCAAGGAAGAUUUCUUAAAUGAGAAAUUUUGAGAUACCUAUAAGAACCCUAUAAAACACUUGUCUCACAUAUAUUAGUUCAAUUUUUAUUUUAAAGUUAUGAAAAUGUUCAAUUAACGCACAAAUAGUGCCUUUAGGCAAAACAAUUAUCGAUUGAGAAGGAGAAUGAGAUAUUUCUUUAGACAUACAAAAACACAUUAAUCGUCACAUUUUUCUUACAAAGUGCAUUCAAAAAUGGCUUUAUAAAAGUCAACACAUUUGGUAAUGUAACCACAAAUGUUUACGAUAUCCAAAGGAGCAUCAUAUUAGACGACCUAAGUACCUGAAUUUCUGUUUUGGAGUCAUAUAGCUUCAUUUUAUAGCCUUUUUUAAUUACGGGGUAAAAUAAAUAAAAUAUUUAAUAAUAUUUAUUAUGUCUCAUAGUUCAUUGCAUAUAUUGUAGGCCUUCGAAAGAAGAAUAAACAUAAUAGUAAUGUAAUCCUUUUGUAAUAUAGAGUGUAUCUUUUGAUAUUGUGACAACAGCAAAGUAUGUCAGAUAAUGACCAGAAUAUGGUGUGUAUUCCAUAUCGAUGGUGUGGAUGUGACGUGCGUCACUAAUAUUCUCGGAACCUGAGACCGUCCAACAGUACUCUGCAAUUUUGAUUAAAAUGAUAUUCUUAGAAGAAAUAUAUAUUUUAUUUUUACUCAAAACUGCAAAUGUUGCUCGACGAAUAUGAAGAUAAGUGAUCGUUCUAUCUGGCUUUAGUUCACUGAUUAUAUCAAGUUUUUCAGCCAAGUCUCAAGGGAUGUUCUAGACAUCAAAAUAAGACAAUUAUUAAGAUCAAAAAUCUGACAACUAAAAGGUAUAUAAC
rnacentral:sRNA from 1 species